ensembl:lncRNA
CAACCCUCGGGUUCCUUCAGUGCUCUUCACUCACGGGGGGCUUGGAAUCAUUUCCCUGCUCCAAGGAGCUGCUGGGUUAUAACUAACAUCCUUCUCCACUGGCAGGUUGGCACAGCAUGGAAUCAUAGAGUCAUGGAAUGGUUUGGGUUGGAAGGGACCUUAAAGCUCCUCCAGCUCCAACCCCCUGCCACGGGCAGGGACACCUUCCACUAGAGCAGGUUGCUCCAAGCCCCUGUGUCCAACCUGCCCUUGAACACUGCCAGGGAUGGGGCAGCCACAGAGGGAAGCAGAGGAUGGAUGUUGUGUUUGAAGCCAGGGCUCUUCCCACGGGAGCCGGUGCUGCUGCUUCAACCACAGAGCAAUUAGUGAGGAAGCUUCGUUAGUUGCUUUGCUGCUUGUGCAUCAUCCGAUCUGUUUUGGGGGUGAUGCUGGUACCAAUCCUGCCCCGCUGGGAAGGGAGCGGAGCCUCGGGAGCAGCAGGACCCGUGUUCUCAGGGCUGUGUCGGUCCUUGUCACAGUGGGGACGUGGUGACACUGUCCUGGGCUGUGCCAGAGCAGUGACUGCAGGUGCGAGGGACCCGAGGAGGGGCUCGGGGUGCACGCUGUUGGGGUUUAGGCAGUGCAGGAAGGGGGGAACAGGCAGAGGCGGGGACCAGGCAUGGAGCUGGGCACUGAAACCUCCACGGAGGGCUGGAAGGAGCCGCUGCAUCCCAAACCCAUGUCCCACCAUGGGAGAAAGCCCCCGGCAAAGCUCCAUGCCCUGCCCUGGCUAGCUCAGGCUGCAGGUUUGGAUGUUCCCCUUAUAAUCCAUCCCCAUCACCUCCCACUGGGGCCAGCACAGGACUCAGUUCCCAUGAACAUGCCAUUAGUUGGCAGUGGGAAUGGUGGUCCCGGUGCAGACGCUGUCCCCAUCACCUCGGAGCUGGGGAUGCUCCUCAGCCCCUUGUGGUCAAACGGGAGCUUUUAGGAGGAAGUGAAAUCUUCAGGGUAUAUUUUUCCCCUUAAAAGGUGUUUUUCCCCCAUCACGCACAGAGGAAUGUGUUCUCCCACCGCCGCCUUUCCAUGGGACACCCUUUGCUCUCCUGCUUGGCCAUGGAAGGCUCCAGAGCGAUGCUGGGAAUACCCAUCCCAUGGCAUAGAGCAGGCAGGGAUGUGGCAUCAGUGGCUUGUGCCCAUUCGGGUGCUCCCAGUGAGGCAGCGACCACGGGGAGAACCUCACCUCAAUCCAGAGGGACAAACACAUCCUUCCCCUUCCAUCCCCUUGUCCAUGGAGACCCUGGGGUCCAGCCCCCCCCUGCCCUCAGUGCCAUGGGGUUACUGUAGAGCCAACGAGGGUAGAGGGAUGCUGGGGAGGGCAGCGUGGUGGAACCCAUGGGGUCGGUCACGGUAAGUAAAUGGGGGACAGAGACCCCUCAGCACCCCCUGGCACGGGCAGCCCCGGGCAGGGAGCGAGGCUGGAGCUGCCCCAUCCCGGAGCAUCGCAUCCAGGAGCGUUGGGAGCAUUUUGGGAGCGUUUUGUUCUUUUCUUUCCCUCCUGGAGCCACCCGUCCCACGGCACAGCCGGAUGUCUCUCGUCGGUGCCAGUUAUUAGUGCAUAAGUGUAUUUUGGGGGGGGUUUGGGGGUGGGGGGGGGAGGAAGGGAGGAAAAGGCAAAAAAAACCUAGGGAAAAAAAAAAAAUCCAAUUUAUCACUUGUAACCAUAUAUAUAAAUAUAUAAAUAUAUAUAUUAAAAGAAAAAAAAAAGUGUUUAUUUGCAAAAAGAUGGAAUUGUUUUAACAGUAAAAAGUAUCUUAUACGAA